UUGGUCUGACCAAUGACCAUUUAUCAGUUGUGAAGCUAUUGACAUCAUUGAGAGUCGAUGUGUCAGCUAAGAACAAUGCUGGCAAAACUGCAAUGCAAGCAGGAGAAGGAAGGUUGCAGUCAGUUUUUGGCAGUCACAAAGAAAUUCUUUCUGCUAUCCUUUCCCAUCUGAAGGAAUUCAUUGAAAGUACUGUUGCAGUUCAACUUCCCAGUCGUGCAAGCUCGACAGCAAUAGCAGCUGCUGGUCAUCUCUCGUCACCAGUGACAGGAAGAAUGAUGUUUAGGUGCUUUAGGAGCAAGAGUUGACUUGGGUUGAUGAUUAUCAAUUAGAAAUGAGAUGAAACGAUGUGAGAACUUGGAGAAAUUGCAAAGACAUAAGGCAAAUCACAAUAGGACAGACCACUGGGAUGUGUUUUUAUCAAUGCAUGUAAUAUUUUAGUUAGUAGCUGACGUUUAAAAUGAUUGUGAGUGUGCUGU